rnacentral:rRNA from 1 species
CCUACGGGGAGCUGCAGUGGGGAAUAUUGGGCAAUGGGCGCAAGCCUGACCCAGCAACGCCGCGUGAAGGAAGAAGGCUUUCGGGUUGUAAACUUCUUUUCUGGGGGACGAACAACUGACGGUACCCCAGGAAUAAGCCACGGCUAACUACGUGCUAGCAGCCGCGGUAAUACGUAGGUGGCAAGCGGUAUCCGGAUUUAUUGGGUGUAAAGGGCGUGUAGGCGGGAAUGCAAGUCAGAUGUGAAAACUCAGGGCUCAACCCUGAGCCUGCAUUUGAAACUGUGAUUCUUGAGUGCUGGAGAGGCAAGCGGAAUUCCGUGUGUAGCGGUGAAAUGCGUAGAUAUACGGAGGAACACCAGUGGCGAAGGCGGAUUGCUGGACAGUAACUGACGCUGAGGCGCGAAAGCGUGGGGAGCAAACAGGAGUAGAUACCCUUGUAGUC